rnacentral:SRP_RNA from 1 species
GUCCAGGUGCUAUGCAAGGCGCCGCUUUCAAACCCCGUCAGGUUCGGAAGGAAGCAGCGGUAGAAGGAUGGUUCCUGUGCCGUAGUUUACCUGGGCUCU